UACGAAGGGUGCAAGCGUUACUCGGAAUUACUGGGCGUAAAGCGUGCGUAGGUGGUUUGUUAAGUCUGUUGUGAAAGCCCCGGGCUCAACCUGGGAAUGGCAAUGGAUACUGGCAAGCUAGAGUGCGGUAGAGGGUAGUGGAAUUCCCGGUGUAGCGGUGAAAUUCGUAGAUAUUGGGAAGAACACCGGUGGCGAAGGCGGCUCUCUGGACCACAACUGACGCUGAGGCGCGAAAGCGUGGGGAGCAAACAGG
rnacentral:rRNA from 1 species